CCAAGUCGGAGAUUAAGCGGGAUACAAUUUCCCUUUGGACCCCUGUGUUGCAGACUCACUUGCCAAGCGAUCAUCUUGUACCUUCUUCCACGGAGGGGGAUCCCAUCUUCUAAUGGCUGGACUUUCAAAUGCUCGAUCAUAAUCAGCCUCGUUAGAAAUGGAGAAAAUGAUCCGUUUGCCGCAAAUGAGCAUGGUGUCAUUCAAAAGGUGAGGAAGGAGCCCUUUUGCCUUUGGAGUGCCUAACUCUCUCGGAAAUGCACCCACAUAAGUUGGAAGAACCCGUUCGAAUUUCAACAGAAAGAGAUGGCCAGGGACGAUGAGCAGUGAGAGAGAAGCCACCACGGCCACAUAAAUGCCCAUUCUCGAAUUAUGCCCACUAUCAACACGACAACGACAACAACAUCAACCACAGUAUGUGUUCUGGAUGGAUUGAGGAUGGCAGAGCAUCAGCUGUCUGAGUGCUUAAUUGUUUCUGCUCUGUCGCUGCUCUUGGAAAGAAGCAAAUUUCGUGCCUUUGAUAUCGGUAGCAUCCUCUCAUGAUACUUCUACGAGGCUUUUGUUUCUAUAAUGGAGCGAGAUGGUGCCAAGAUAAGACCUAACAAUAACCACGCACCUCCUUAAUCAAAAGUCUUGACUGACUGGCUCGUACCAAGAAGAAGUUUCGCAACAGUUUUGCGAAUUUUCACCCCCAAGAAGUGCACCCCUCAGUCAAGCAAGGAGAUGAGUCAAGCCAGAUGAGAUCGCGAGCCCAUUACACGACCAUUGAUGAUUGGAACGAACACUUGGUUAAGAUGAAAGUGGCAAUUCGGCACUCUUUGGCCAUAUCCCAAAUUUCGAUCUACAUUUCAUCCCACUCACAUGUUGCCGUCUUCGAAGUCACCAGCAACCUAUCAACCAACCAUAGAACUAACCGAGUACCUACCUACCAACCAGUCUGUUGUCGACAUUUGGCGUUUUGGUUACGGUUUUCUUUCUCACCCUGCUGACGCUUUCCGGGCAUUUAAUCGUGUUUUGGGGCAUUUAGGGCAACGAACCUACCAUUGCUUGGAGAGAAAGAGCUAAUCUAUUUUACUUGCCCAAGAGCCAUCAGAAAACCAUCAUAGCCACUCACUCACUCUCUCUCUCUCUCUCUCUCGUUCUCUCUCUCAUUUCAUCUUUCUUUGUUGGCUUUUGAACGUCACUUGUUUUCGCAACUCGUACUUCGUAGCUACGACCUACCUAUGCAAAACGAGUAAUUGACUGUUGAAUUGAUUGAACUUCGGUGAUUCGCGGUCUGAGCACGAAGCAGUGCAUCUUUUUCAUGGCACACAUGACCUUCUGAGACCUCUUUGGUUUGGUGUGGCUUGGCAAAGGAUCGACCCUAAUGAAUUGACCAUGAUUGGGAUUUUUGGAUUUCGUAAUAGAAAAAAAAUCGGUUUGAUUUUUAAUUAACCCCAUCACUUGACUGUCAUGCGCUUUGUGGGCCAAGGUAGUCUGGUAGCCUGGAUUUGGGAGACCGCAAAUAUUCAAAUUACAUCAUAACGGCGAUUAGUUCUCCGAAAAACCACACGUUCGUCACAAUCACGCAAAGAGCAAACCAUUGAAAUACAUACAAGAGGAUCGACAGAUCUUAUUAGACGAAUGUAAGUCGAGGAGAUGCUCAUGCACGCCUUAGUCAAAUGGAAAGUGGAGAAAACGGAGCUUUCUAGUGUCAUGUGUGGCCAAAAAAAGAGAACCAAAGGCUAUGAGGCCGAUUUUCAACGAGAUCAGAUUAGUCGUGUGAGCGAUUCU